rnacentral:rRNA from 1 species
GACGAACGCUGGCGGCGUGCUUAACACAUGCAAGUCGAACGGAAAGGCCCUGCUUUUGUGGGGUGCUCGAGUGGCGAACGGGUGAGUAACACGUGAGUAACCUGCCCUUGACUUUGGGAUAACUUCAGGAAACUGGGGCUAAUACCGGAUAGGAGCUCCUGCUGCAUGGUGGGGGUUGGAAAGUUUCGGCGGUUGGGGGUGGACUCGCGGCUUAUCAGCUUGUUGGUGGGGUAGUGGCUUACCAAGGCUUUGACGGGUAGCCGGCCUGAGAGGGUGACCGGCAACAUUGGGACUGAGAUACGGCCCAGACUCCUACGGGAGGCAGCAGUGGGGAAUAUUGCACAAUGGGCGGAAGCCUGAUGCAGCAACGCCGCGUGCGGGAUGACGGCCUUCGGGUUGUAAACCGCUUUCGCCUGUGACGAAGCGUGAGUGACGGUAAUGGGUAAAGAAGCACCGGCUAACUACGUG